AUGGCCUGGGCCCCUCUCCUCCUCGCGGUGCUCGCCCAUGGCUCAGGGCAGCCCAAGGUCUCCCCCACUGUCCACCUCGUCCCGCCAUCUGCCGAGGAGCUCUCAGGGCAGAGCAAAGCCACCCUGGUGUGUCUGCUGGGACACUUCUACCCCAGCACCAUGCAGGUGGCCUGGACAGCUGAUGGCCAUGCCCUCACCAGUGGCAUCAAGACCAACCAGACCCAGUGGCAGACCAACAACCAGUACAUGGCCAGCAGCUACCUGACGCUGAGUGCUGCUGACUGGAAGAGCCAUGAGACCUACACCUGCACGGUCAGGCAUGAGAGUGGCACCAUCGAGAAGGUCCUGAAUAGAUCUGUGCGCUCCUAA